rnacentral:rRNA from 1 species
GCUCCCUGAUUUAGCGGCGGACGGGUGAGUAAUGCCUAGGAAUCUGCCUGGUAGUGGGGGACAACGUUUCGAAAGGAACGCUAAUACCGCAUACGUCCUACGGGAGAAAGCAGGGGACCUUCGGGCCUUGCGCUAUCAGAUGAGCCUAGGUCGGAUUAGCUAGUUGGUGGGGUAAUGGCUCACCAAGGCGACGAUCCGUAACUGGUCUGAGAGGAUGAUCAGUCACACUGGAACUGAGACACGGUCCAGACUCCUACGGGAGGCAGCAGUGGGGAAUUUUGGACAAUGGACGCAAGUCUGAUCCAGCCAUGCCGCGUGCGGGAAGAAGGCCUUCGGGUUGUAAACCGCUUUUGUCAGGGAAGAAACGCUCUGGGUUAAUACCUCGGGGUAAUGACGGUACCUGAAGAAUAAGCACCGGCUAACUACGUGCCAGCAGCCGCGGUAAUACGUAGGGUGCAAGCGUUAAUCGGAAUUACUGGGCGUAAAGCGUGCGCAGGCGGUUAUGCAAGACAGAGGUGAAAUCCCCGGGCUCAACCUGGGAACUGCCUUUGUGACUGCAUAGCUAGAGUACGGUAGAGGGGGAUGGAAUUCCGCGUGUAGCAGUGAAAUGCGUAGAUAUGCGGAGGAACACCGAUGGCGAAGGCAAUCCCCUGGACCUGUACUGACGCUCAUGCACGAAAGCGUGGGGAGCAAACAGGAUUAGAUACCCUGGUAGUCCACGCCCUAAACGAUGUCAACUGGUUGUUGGGAGGGUUUCUUCUCAGUAACGUAGCUAACGCGUGAAGUUGACCGCCUGGGGAGUACGGUCGCAAGAUUAAAACUCAAAGGAAUUGACGGGGACCCGCACAAGCGGUGGAUGAUGUGGAUUAAUUCGAUGCAACGCGAAAAACCUUACCUACCCUUGACAUGCCAGGAACUUACCAGAGAUGGUUUGGUGCUCGAAAGAGAGCCUGGACACAGGUGCUGCAUGGCCGUCGUCAGCUCGUGUCGUGAGAUGUUGGGUUAAGUCCCGCAACGAGCGCAACCCUUGUCAUUAGUUGCUACGAAAGGGCACUCUAAUGAGACUGCCGGUGACAAACCGGAGGAAGGUGGGGAUGACGUC